UUCAGAUUGUUGCGCUUAUUUAUGUAUUUUUUGAGUGACUUUUUAAAUGGCAUACUAAGCUUAGCUGAAGAGUUAAAAAUUGCCAGAUUACAAAUUUACUAUUGCAAUAAAAUUAUAAUUUAUGCUUACAGAUCUCUAAAUGAAGAAAUGCUUCAUGCUAUAGACGUGCUAUUUUAUUUCCUGUACUGAUAUUUGAGUACUUUCUGAUUAUCUACAUUUCCACAAAAAUUCAUUAACUCAUUGGGGACUCAGUGAAUUGGAAAAACCCAUUUGUUUGGCUAUCUUUGUGGCUUACAGGUUAGAUAUACUGAAAUGUAAGCUAUUUAUUGCCUUGUUUGAUGUUUUUAGAGAACUGAAAAGUAAUGAAAAUGAUCAGUACCAAUAUGGUCAAUACCGAUAUUCUGGAUGCCAAACAAUAUUUGUGUCAGCUGUGUCUAUGAUGAAACACAGUAAAUCUGCUGGACAGACAAAAAAGAAUCCUAGAUUUACAUGUCCUCAUUGUCCUUAUUCUUCAAAUAUCAGUACAAAUUUCAGACAUCAUAUGUUAACUCACACAUCAGAACGACCAUUCAAGUGUCCAAUAUGUGGAAUGGGAUUCAUUCAGAAACAAAAUAUGAAGAAUCAUAUGAUUAAUCAUAGUAAAAAGCUACUUUUUUCAUGAUAGCAGUUUAAUUUUUAUAUUGCAUAUUGAAAAAUUUCAUGUUAUCCAUUCUUUAGUAAAUUUAUUAUUGCAAGACUUAUGUAUAUAUACUACAAUAUAGUUAGGUAGAUUUUUAUUUUAUAUUAUUGAAAUUAGGGAACUUUUGAAUGAAAUAAGAAAGUGGCUUUUUUGGGUCGAGAAAAGUCUCCAUUUUAAAAAUAAUAAAUGAUGUAUAAAAAACUUAAAUUUUAGUGCAAAAACCAUCAACACACUUAAAAUUCUGGAAGUCAGAAUAAUGGAUAAUUUAAAAUGUAUAAUAAUGAGAGUUGAACGAAUUUUUAUACUCAGUAAUAUAGCUACAUUAAUACUAAAUUUAAUGUAUCUGUAAAGAUAAAAAAUUUAUAGCUGCUACUUCCAUGUUUGUUUUUUAAAUGCAGAGUAGUUUUUUUUGUAUGUAUUGAUAAUUAUUUGAUA